UGUGGGGUUCCGUGCUUCCGGGCAGGGAGGGUUGGGCGCCAUGUUUGCGGAAAGAGGCUUCCCCACCACCCCGUGGGCCUCUGGCCCUUGGCCCUCAGGCGAAGGGCGUCUGACUUCUCCAGAAGUGCGUGCUCGCGCCCUCCUGAGGGAGACCCUGCAGCUCUGUGGUUGAGGAAGCUCAGAAACGGGGUUUCUGGCCCCUUGGCCAUAGGCUCCAGGACCCUCAAGGAAGCACGGGGAGCUGAGAGAAAAGCAGGGCCGGCCGCCACUUUAAGCGCCGAAAACAUUCCAGUCAGGACCGUUUUCCGUAGGGCGCAGGAGACCUCAGUGUGGGACCCUCCGGGUUCAUCCCAAAUGCCUGUUGACUGAAACAAAACACACGACCUAGAAGUCGGACGAAACUUGUCCAAAAGCUGGACAAAGCUGAAUACUUAAGCCCAGGACGCAGCAUCUCAGAUAACUGAGGGACUGGCCCGAAGAGGUAAGGGAGGAGGCAGGGUAUAUAGGGGUUUUUGCAACAAAGAUCAGGUAGUCCGAAAUCAGCACAUUGCGUAAUAAAGGAAAACCAGGCAUCUCUAGGAAUUCAGCGCUUUCCGAUGCGCUGUUAGCCUCCUGGGGCCAGCGCUUUCUCACCCCGAGUCCCCUCAGGGUGCACCUCGGGCGGCUGUGAUGCGAUGGCCUGUGCUUACUGGCACGUCAGUGGUAAAGACCUGCCUGACAGUGUAGGAGACAGGUUCAGUUCGUGGUCUGGAAAGAGUCCACAUCCUGAGGGGCAGCUCCGCCUGUGCACAACUUCUUAGCCUGGGCUCUGAAACCCACAAGGAGAGAAGCCGCCACAACGAGAAGCCCAGCACCACAGUAGAGUGGUUUAAAAACUCCGUGCACAAUCCAUGUUACGUCAGAUGAAGCAUGCUCCUUGCACAGUGAUUUCUGGCGGCAUGAAAGAAAAAGGAAUGUCUGCAAAACAUGAUCAAGAUAGACAUAAAAGUCAAGAGAAACCUUGUAUUUUGAGCUUUUUUUGCAGCCAGUUCACCGAGGGAAAGAUUAGGAGUUUCAUGGUUCUGAUAUUCAAAAGAAGAGGCAUACAGUUUCUCAGGAGGAUCUAGGUUUUUGUGGCUCUAAAUUUAAACACCCGUCCAUCCACACAUGCCUCAAAAGCCAAUUGCCAAUGUAUUGCCAUGUGAAACCUGCAAAAGUAGGUUCAUUUACUUUUAUUUACCAAUUCAUGCAUUCUCUCUAUGUAGGCAAAUAGGUACAAGAAAUCUGACCCCUCCUGAAGAAACCCCACCCAAAACAAAA